rnacentral:rRNA from 1 species
GGUGAACGCUGGCGGCGCGCCUAAGACAUGCAAGUCGAGCGGGCCGCGGGGUUUUACUCCGUGGUCAGCGGCGGACGGGUGAGUAACGCGUGGGUGACCUACCCGGAAGAGGGGGACAACCCGGGGAAACUCGGGCUAAUCCCCCAUGUGGACCCGCCCCUUGGGGUGUGUCCAAAGGGCUUUGCCCGCUUCCGGAUGGGCCCGCGUCCCAUCAGCUAGUUGGUGGGGUAAUGGCCCACCAAGGCGACGACGGGUAGCCGGCCUGAGAGGGUGGCCGGCCACAGGGGCACUGAGACACGGGCCCCACCCCUACGGGAGGCAGCAGUUAGGAAUCUUCCGCAAUGGGCGCAAGCCUGACGGAGCGACGCCGCUGGGAGGAAGAAGCCCUUCGGGGUGUAAACUCCUGAACCCGGGACGAAACCCCCGACGAGGGGACUGACGGUACCGGGGUAAUAGCGCCGGCCAACUCCGUG